UAACCCAGAAAUGCUGUCAAAUUUCCAACAUUACUGAUUUUUCCUGAGAAGAACAGAUAAAAAUAAUUCCUAUAAGUCUAGGGGAAAAUACUAUACACAUGCCUUCUCAUUUUUAUUUCCAUUUUGUAUCCAUUUUCAUCUUUGUUUCCCCGACACCAAAUAGUGCUUUAGAAAUUUCACUUAUGAAUUCUGUGUGUCCAGCCUUAGGCUGUGCUCUAGCACAGGAAAUGGGUCUUUAGGAGGAGUCAUAGUGGGAUUGCCUGUCUGUACCUUGUGCCUUUGUUCUAUUUGAUUCUGCUGGCAAAACCAACUCAGAAACAUGCUUUCUUGUCUUUUUCUUUUGUAUGGCUACACUAUUGUGUAUAUAUAAAAGUUUCCCAUACCGCUAUGUGCCAAAGUGUUUGUGUAGGUGAGGAAGGUAACAUUCCUUUGACCUAAAAUGGAUAAACGAGGAAAAAGCUUUACUUUUUUUUCCUGUACGAUAUUGUCAAGGAAUAGGCUAUCCUGGUCUCUGUUUUUCUUUCCUUUCAGCCACUAGGAUAUGGCUUUCUGUUGUUUCAUGGUUUUAAAAUGGUUGCCUGAACUCUGGUGUUGCUUCCACGAUGCUGCCAGAAGAAGUGGAAGAGACAAAGGCAAAACAGGUAACAGACCCAAGAUUCUUUAAGGCAGAAACAAACAUACCAAGAUCUCUGGACAAGGAGCUUCCAGGCUACCUUCCAGAUUUACAGAAGUGCAAGUGUCACCAUAUGUGCACCCCAGGAAGUGAGGAGAGGUAGUAAAAACAGAAUGGAACAAGACAGAACAAAGCCAAUUGAGACAAUGCAGUGAAAUUGGUACAGAACUUCACAGCAGGAUACUAAGAUAGCAGUAAUAGGUACUAUAGUAUAUCUCGUUAUCUUCCCAAUAGUUGUCCAGUCCAUUAAGUACAGCGAAAUCAAACCAAAAACAGAAUAUUAUAAAACCAGUUGAAAGAGAGUAUUGAAUAGAGCAAAACAAACAUAACAAAACAAAACAGUGAAAACAAUAUUUGCCUUCAAACAGAAAAUAGAAUGAAAUCCCCCACAUUGGCUAUAUUGCAUAUGGUCAUCUUCCCAAGAAAUGCUGAGACAUCUCAGUUGCUGGAAGGGGUGUUGAUUCUCAGCCCACAUGCUGGUAGGCUUUCAGGAGCUGUUGUUCUCCUCCUGGCCAGGGGCAUCUACCAAGAGGGCAGGUGAAUAAACUGACUAAGUCCCACCAGGGCCCGAUCUUGAGAGCACUGAUUCUGCUCCUGGCCCAUGUCAGGGGCGCUUACUAAUGGGGCGGGCAAAUAAGUUGCCUAAGUUCCACCAUGGCCAGUUCUCAGUAGCCCUGGUUCUCCUCCUGGCCCACGCCAGAAACAAAUUUUUGGUAAUUACUGUUGGCUUUGAAGUAGUGUCAUAACUUGUGUUAAAGCAAGGUGAUGUCUCAUCACAUCUAUAGAAUAGGUGGGUAGGAGAGUAGUUGGACAGCUGAUUCUGCACAGGGGCAGAUAGUAAACUACUUUAAGCUUUUGGAUCGUAUGUUUCUUUCACACUCACUAAACCUUGAUACUAACACACAGAAGCCACAAAUAACAUGGGAAUGAAUAAGCAUGGCCAUGAUCCAGUGAAAUUAUUUAUGGACACAGAAAUUUUAAUUUCAUUUAGCUUUCAUAUGUCAUGGAACACUGUUCAUCUUUAGACUUUUUUAAUUAUUUAAAUCUUAGGAACCUAAUCUUCGCUCAGAGGCCACCCAACAUACAUAUAAUAGGUUACUUUGGGCUUAUGACUCUGUGCUGAUCUCUGGUCUAUAUGGACCUCAAAAUGCCAGGGGUCUAGAGUGCAAGAAUUUUGCCUCACUUGGCAUCCACUGAGCAGGACUUCCUCCAGGCAAGGAGGAAGACUCUACCUUCCCCAGGUAAAUCCUGCUGAAGCACAUGUUGGAGUCAAUCAGUUUCAUUGGUCUCACUCCGUUGGGAGAGUCAAGUGUGCUUUUUUCUGGGGGAAUUAGGAUCUGAACUAACAAGGUUUGCCUUUCUCAAACUCAAAGCAGGAGACGCAGCCCACAUUACACAUUCUUGGCCAGCUCCACUGAUUUCUCCUUUGUGCUAUGUUUUCAAUCUAUUCAUCUAGCUUCAUUUGCUGAGCAGGCUGAUUGUGCCCUUCCACAGCUGCCCCACAAUGUAAUCCUUCCUGAGACCAAACUUCAUGGUGCUUUGAGUCAUCACAGUGGGAUGUUAGUGCUUUCCUUUAUUUGGUUCUUGGGUGAACACUCUGAACACUAACCUUGUGUUGUCAGCUACAGAUAUCAAUAGGCUUCAUUGUCUAAUAAUCAAUAUUAGAGGUUACUGCAAACACAAAUAUUCCCUGGGUGGAUAAUUAAAGUGAAUCUGUCCCCGACUGAGUGUUGUCUUUUAUUUUAACCUUUACUCUGCUUUUAUUUCAUCAGUGGAGUUUUUCACAUCAGAACAAGGGGGCAGAAAAUGGCUUGAUGCCCAUUGAAAGAAGAAGAAAUGAAAAGUAAAGGGUUUGAGUAUUUUCCUACAUAUGUUUCUGUCUAAGACAGAAGGACUAUGCACAGUGAAAAUUCUGCAGUUAGUUUAGUCUUUCAUCUAUCUAUAAGAAAUAUUGGUUCUCUUCUUGAAUAUAUGCAUAUGCUGUAGAGCUAAUUGGGUGCAUUUUCAGGUAUAGUACUUGUAUAGCAAAACCUAAUUUGGGCAAAGGAUUGUAAAGUAUAACUGGAACAAAAAAUAUUUGACUCUGGAGAGAAUUAAUAAAUCAUUGUUAGCAAAUAAUGUGCUACUACAGGUAAAUAAUGCAUAAAACAUAGCAUCUCUUAAUAGAAAUACAGUAAAAUUUGUGAGUCAUAUGCAGCAGAAUAGACUUUUCAGAGUUUAAAAAGGUUUCUAUUCAGUUUUAUUCAACCAAGUGAGAUGACCAAAAAUUUAAACAGAAACCUCUUUGGGGGUACAGUGGUCAUCUAAAGCUUAAAGACAAAGCUUUAUAAGAAAACUAAACAUCACUUGCUCAAGGAAUUCUAGGAAAAUUGGGAGAAGCAAGAAAUAAAAUGGAAAAUUAAUAUUAUUAGCAUACAAAAUCCUAUGAAAUAUGUUAAGCAGUUAAAAUACUUACUGACUGAACAUUUUUGUUCUCCUUAUACUCGUAUGUGAAGAACUAGAAGGUGAGUGUUAGAGGACAAUUAGGCUAAGAGGUUGAGAUUCUCAUGCAUGAGAUCAGUUCCCAUAGAAGGUGCCAGAGAGCUCCAUUGCCUCCACAUCAGAAUAAGAUGGAAAUUGGGCAGUCCACAGUCUGAAAGACAUUCUUAAGAACCCAGUCAUAAUUUUGGACCUCCAGUUUCCAGACCUAUUAAAAAUAAAUUCAAAAUAAAAAUAAGUUCAAAAUCAAACAAACUUCUAUUGUUUAUGAGCCACCCCACUUAGACUACUUUAUUAGAGAGGCCUGAACAGAACAAGACAACUUCCAACAAAUAUAGAAAAAGCAGAUGAAAUGCAAUUUAUAAAAGAAACACAGUAAAUAGGAGGUGAUACAAAAUACUUCCAAAUUAAAGUGAGGAAUUGCUUUAUUGGACUAAAUAGUGAUUGAAAGAAGAGAACCCCUUAAAAACCACAAUGAGAUUGAACUAAACACUUAGAAAAUCAACCAAAACAAUAGUGACAUCACCAGUUCCUAGCAAGUGUGAAGAGAAAUGGAAUCAUUCUUGCAUUGUUGAUGAGAAUGUGAAAUCGAACAGCCACUCUGGAAAACAGUCUGACAGUUCUUCAUGAAAUUAAGUCUGUAACUACUCUGUGACCCAGAAAUCAUGCUCUUGUACAUUUGUCUUGGAGAAAUGAAAACUGUGUCCACACAAAAACAUAAGCACAAAUGUUCAUAGUAGUUUGGUUCAUAACUGCCCAAACAGGAAACAAACCAGAUAUAAUUCAGGAAGUGAACUGUUAAACAAACGUACAUACAUUUUUACCAUGGAUUAUCUCUUACCCAGAAAGAACAAGGAAACAAACAAUUGAUACAUGGAACACACUGCAAAAAUUUACAAAGAAUUUUUGCUCAACAAAAGCAGGAAGCUUAAAUGUUGAUGUACUGCAUGACUAAUUUUAUGUGACAUUCAUGAAAUAUCAAAAUUAAAGAAUAGAGGAGAGAUUAGUUGUUCCCUGGCAUGAAGGAGAAGGGAGUACAGAAGGAAGGUGGGUGUGGCAAUAGAAAACAGCAUGAAAAAUUCUUGGGGUGAUAGUACUUCUCUCUUCCUUCAUGGCAUGCAUGUCUACAUCCUGGUAGUGAUAUUAUACCAAAGUUUUCUAAUAUGCUACCAUUGGGGUACACUGGGUACCUGGGGUUUAUGGGUGUUGUUUCCAACCACUGCUUGCAAAUCUACAGUUAUAUUAAAAUAAAAAAAAUUAUUUAAAAA